UACGUAGGGUGCGAGCGUUACUCGGAAUUACUGGGCGUAAAGUGUGCGCAGGCGGCCGAGCAAGUCGAGUGUGAAAGCCCCGAGCUUAACUUGGGAAUUGCGCUCGAAACUACUUGGCUGGAGUGUGGCAGAGGAAGGUGGAAUUCCAGGUGUAGCGGUGAAAUGCGUAGAGAUCUGGAGGAACACCGAUGGCGAAGGCAGCCUUCUGGGCCAACACUGACGCUCAUGCACGAAAGCGUGGGGAGCAAACAGG
rnacentral:rRNA from 1 species